GAUGAACGCUGGCGGCGUGCCUAACACAUGCAAGUCGAGCGUGAUUGCUAUGAGUGGAGACUUCGGUUGAAGCGAGUAGCAUGAAAGCGGCGGACGGGUGAGUAACGCGUGGGCAACCUGCCCCAUACAGAGGGAUAGCCACUGGAAACGGUGAUUAAUACCUCAUAAGUCAGUAGGAUCGCAUGAUUUAGCUGACAAAGAUUUAUCGGUAUGGGCUGGGCCCGCGUCUGAUUAGCUAGUUGGUGAGGUAACGGCUCACCAAGGCGACGAUCAGUAGCCGACCUGAGAGGGUGAUCGGCCACACUGGAACUGAGACACGGUCCAGACUCCUACGGGAGGCAGCAGUGGGGAAUAUUGCACAAUGGGCGCAAGCCUGAUGCAGCAACGCCGCGUGAGUGAUGAAGGCCUUCGGGUUGUAAAACUCUGUCCUAUGGGAAGAAACAAAUGACGGUACCAUGGGAGGAAGCCCCGGCUAACUACGUGCCAGCAGCCGCCGUAACAC
rnacentral:rRNA from 1 species